rnacentral:rRNA from 1 species
GUAAGGAAUAUUGGUCAAUGGAGGGAACUCUGAACCAGCCAUGCCGCGUGAAGGAUGACGGCCCUCUGGGUUGUAAACUUCUUUUGGAUGGGGCGAAAAAACGGGAUUUAUCCUGGACUGACGGUACCAUCAGAAUAAGCACCGGCUAACUCCGUGCCAGCAGCCGCGGUAAUACGGAGGGUGCAAGCGUUAUCCGGAAUCACUGGGUUUAAAGGGUGCGUAGGCGGUUGUAUAAGUCAGGGGUGAAAGCACGCAGCUUAACUGUGUAAUUGCCUUUGAUACUGUACGGCUUGAAUAGGGUUGAGGUUGGCGGAAUGUGACAUGUAGCGGUGAAAUGCAUAGAUAUGUCAUAGAACACCGAUUGCGAAGGCAGCUGACUGGGCCUAUAUUGACGCUGAGGCACGAAAGCGUGGGGAGCGAACAGGAUUAGAAACCCUGGUAGUCC